rnacentral:misc_RNA from 1 species
UCGGAACAUCUUCUUCGAAGAUGAAAGGGAUAACGUGACAUAUUGUAUUCAGUUUUGAAUGUUUAUUAACAUUCAAAUUUGUAUAUUGAAAACUAGAUAAGUAAGUAAAUAGAUUUUACCAAGCAAAACCGAGUGAAUAGAGUUUUAAAUAAGCUUGAAUUCAUAAAAAUAAUCGCUAGUGUUCGAAAGAACACUCACAAGAUUAAUAACGCGUUUCCUGGUGGAAACAUAGAUUAAGUUAUUAAGGGCGCACGGUGGAUGCCUUGGC